AGUGAACGCUGGCGGUAGGCCUAACACAUGCAAGUCGAACGGCAGCACAGUAAGAGCUUGCUCUUACGGGUGGCGAGUGGCGGACGGGUGAGGAAUACAUCGGAAUCUACUUUUUCGUGGGGGAUAACGUAGGGAAACUUACGCUAAUACCGCAUACGACCUACGGGUGAAAGCAGGGGAUAUUCGGACCUUGCGCGAUUGAAUGAGCCGAUGUCGGAUUAGCUAGUUGGCGGGGUAAAGGCCCACCAAGGCGACGAUCCGUAGCUGGUCUGAGAGGAUGAUCGGCCACACUGGAACGGAGACACGGUCCAGACUCCUACGGGAGGCAGCAGUGGGGAAUAUUGGACAAUGGGCGCAAGCCUGAUCCAGCCAUACCGCGUGGGUGAAGAAGGCCUUCGGGUUGUAAAGCCCUUUUGUUGGGAAAGAAAAGCAGCAGGUUAAUACCCCGCUGUUCUGACGGUACCCAAAGAAUAAGCACCGGCUAACUUCGUG
rnacentral:rRNA from 1 species